UACGAAGGGUGCAAGUGUUACUCGGAAUUACUGGGCGUAAAGCGUGCGUAGGCGGUUUGUUAAGUCCGUUGUGAAAGCCCUGGGCUCAACCUGGGAAUUGCAGUGGAUACUGGCGAGCUAGAGUGCGGUAGAGGAUGGUGGAAUUCCCGGUGUAGCGGUGAAAUGCGUAGAGAUCGGGAGGAACACCCGUGGCGAAGGCGGCCAUCUGGACCAGCACUGACGCUGAGGCACGAAAGCGUGGGGAGCAAACAGG
rnacentral:rRNA from 1 species